UAGUGGACUCAGAGAUCAUUAGUGAUCUGGCAAUAUAUUUAUCAAAGACGUUUUACUCAAUUGCUCCGCCAACCAGUGUGCAGUGGUACCAUCUUCGUAAGCUCAUCAAUAGUUCAUCAGAAGCCAGUGACACAUCUAUCCUGAUUUUCAUUUACAAUACAAGAAUAAAAACUGGUGUCUAUUUCGUAAAUAUGACGCUUUUAAGCCAUCGUAGAGGUACAUAUGCUGUUGUUGUAGGAAAUGAUUACGGGAAGACAACGCACGAGUUUGAAAUAAUGAUAAAAGGUGCAACGCACAAACUAACAGCAGUACUGUGGAUUCUGACAAGUGUUGUUGUAUUCAUCGUUACAGUUUCUAUGACUGCACUAUUUAUGAAAAGACGUUAUAGUGGAGAUUUAACAAGUGAUAAUGCAGCAGUCAUUUACCAUGCCGCACCUUACAUAGAAAACCAGGUCCGUCUUUAAGACCUUCAGGAUUGCCAUAACGAGGAAUAUGAAGAUAAUGAGGCUUCAGAAUAUAUUGAUGCCAUUUAUGUGGAGGCCAAUGGACAUGCGCAUUACGAAGAAAUCCUGUAACUUUCUAUUUUACCAAGUCCUCUAGAACAUAAAAAGAAUACUUGUAAUAAAAGCAAAUCUAUAAACAAAUAAUUGGUUUUUGAAAUAUAUGAAGUCUUCAAAUUAAGGCAUAAAUACAUUUCCCAAUCUGUAAUAUCGGUUUCAUACACAUGAGCAUAUUUGCGAAAAAGAUCCAAUCAAAUUGCCAUUUAUAGUGUACCUGUACCAACAAAAAGAUCAACUUC